AGUGAACGCUGGCGGUAGGCCUAACACAUGCAAGUCGAACGGCAGCACAGUAAGAGCUUGCUCUUACGGGUGGCGAGUGGCGGACGGGUGAGGAAUACAUCGGAAUCUACUUUUUCGUGGGGGAUAACGUAGGGAAACUUACGCUAAUACCGCAUACGACCUACGGGUGAAAGCAGGGGAUCUUCUGACCUUGCGCGAUUGAAUGAGCCGAUGUCGGAUUAGCUAGUUGGCGGGGUAAAGGCCCACCAAGGCGACGAUCCGUAGCUGGUCUGAGAGGAUGGUCAGCCACACUGGAACUGAGACACGGUCCAGACUCCUACGGGAGGCAGCAGUGGGGAAUAUUGGACAAUGGGCGGAAGCCUGAUCCAGCCAUCCCGCGUGGGUUGAGAAGGCCUUCGGGUUGUAAAGCCCUUUUGUUGGGAAAGAAAAGCAGCAGGUUAAUACCCCGCUGUUCUGACGGUACCCAAAGAAUAAGCACCGGCUAACUUCGUG
rnacentral:rRNA from 1 species